rnacentral:rRNA from 1 species
UACGUAGGGUGCAAGCGUUAAUCGGAAUUACUGGGCGUAAAGCGUGCGCAGGCGGUUGUGCAAGACAGAUGUGAAAUCCCCGGGCUUAACCUGGGAACUGCAUUUGUGACUGCACGGCUAGAGUGUGUCAGAGGGGGGGUAGAAUUCCACGUGUAGCAGUGAAAUGCGUAGAGAUGUGGAGGAAUACCGAUGGCGAAGGCAGCCUCCUGGGCC